rnacentral:snRNA from 1 species
AUCGCUUCUCGGCUUAUUAGCUAAGAUCAAAGUGUAGUAUCUGUUCUUAUCAGCUUAAUCUCUGAUACACAGUCUAUUGACUGUUUUGAGAUUAAAAAAUUUUUGGAACCUGGUCAGGUGCAGGGGCUUGCUCCUCUCUGACCAUGGGUCGGCCCGGUACUGCACUCACCACCGGGAUCGGCCCACUCCCC